rnacentral:rRNA from 1 species
GACGAACGCUGGCGGCGUGCUUAACACAUGCAAGUCGAACGAACUCUUCGGAGUUAGUGGCGCACGGGUGCGUAACGCGUGGGAAUCUGCCCUUGGGUACGGAAUAACUCAGAGAAAUUUGUGCUAAUACCGUAUAAUGUCUUCGGACCAAAGAUUUAUCGCCCAAGGAUGAGCCCGCGUAAGAUUAGCUUGUUGGUGAG